GCUCAUUUGCACAGCACAUACACUGAAGUAGGAACCAUACAGGGAAAUUUUGCAUGGCCCCUGGGCAAAGAAGGCAUCCAAAUUCGUGAAGCGUUCCAGGUUUUU